rnacentral:lncRNA from 1 species
GAAAAGAAUGCAGAGUCUGCAGAAACCAACCACCUUCCCCUUGUGCUCAGGUUAAACUUUCCACCCCGAUGCCAGACCACAGAGAACAGCCGCUUCCUGGAAAUUGGGCAGCACCGAAAUGACCUUCAGCCAGUGUUGCCUUGGAGACCGUUGCAGUGUGUUGGAACCAGCCACGGGGCUGCGUGUCUCUGUGCUGACCUCACUGAAGGGAAGGGCAAGGUCAGGAGGCCACGAAAGAGCCAAUUCUGUGU